GUCAUUUAACUCACCUGGUAAGUAGAGCAAGAGAGGCGAGUCUUUGAUUGGACAAGUGCAAUCCAAGGGCGAAAACCAGCGUGGUGGCCCAUCCUCGGAUCCGCAUCCAAUCAUAUCCUUGCUCCAUUCCAGGUAAUCCUUUAUAGUUAAAGUUUUUUCCUCUAGCUCAGUAGUGGAGUUGUUCCUUAACCUUCCGUUGUUGCUCGACGGAGCAGGCGGCGUUGGCGGUUGCUGGCCGGUGGAGGCGACUGAUCCCCCAGCAGUAGUUGCUGAUGCACGCACCCGAAAAUUGAAUCUAGCGGAGGUGACAAGGAGACAUGAGUUCGGAUGGAGCAGCGGCGAGGCACCGGCCGCCGUGUAAGCGCCAGUGGGAAUAGCCGCCAUAGACAAAAAUCAAAAUGCCGAUAAGCUUUUGCACUACGUAAGAACAAUUAGUUUUGAAAUGGAAAGCUCGUUAUAUCUUUGCACCUUCUUUUUAUAUUGACUUUUUAGUUUAUUCUAUUCGGGUUCUGAAAUCACAAAAUAUCAAUAAUGGACUCAUGACUACCAAUAUAUACAGACAUCGUCUGGACCCCACAGCCUCACUUAAUCACUUUUAAAACUUUUGGUGAAGUAAAAGUCAGCCAUUAUUAGCUCAUCCACACAUUUUUUGCGGUAAUGCAAUUGCUUGUACGGGAUCUUUAACACAAAUAGCCUGUUCCGUUAUAUUCUUUUUCUUAAUAAUUUUCAUAGAUUAUACAUCUAUUAUAUAUAAUUAUACAUAUAAAAUAUAUGAAUUAUGUAUAUAUUAAACUUAUAUUGACUAUUUUUAAUUUAAAUGGUUAGGCGAACGAUCACUUGAUCACUUGAGUUAAUUAUUAUACUUAAAUUUGGAUGAUAGGCUGCUUUAUAUGAACUGUUGUGUCUAGUUGUUGUAUGCCACGUAAUUUCUUCUGUUACCAAUCUUAAAGUGCGUAUUGGAAAACGACUUUCUUGAUUGUAACAACAUAAAUUUUGCCUAUAAGAAAGCAAAUUAGAUUAUACUUAUCCAACAUAAAUUUUAAAAAAGAUUAUAAUGAAGCAUAUUCGGACAAAUUCUAAUUUUACCCACUUGAUAGCUAUAACAGUGAUGCUGUCUAUUUCAUUUACACACUAAUAAACAUCCAGAUCUUGAUAUAUUAAAUGGUUAUCUAUCAAAAGUAUGUGAAGUUAACCCUUGCUCAAAGUUAAUACUAAGAUAUACUGUGCUAAAAUGCAAAAUUGUGUUUGAACUGUAAUUUACACAGGGCUUGCCUAGUGCAGUUUACAUCCCUUGUGUGGUUUGCAGGCUAUUUCACAGGGGGAGUUUACCCAGUGCGCACAAAAUGUUCACCACAGAGUGCUCACCCGAAGGACAGAGGCUGUGACAGAGGUUGUAGCGGUUGCGGGUUUCCCCUCUUACCAAAAAAAACUGUAAUUUAAACACCAUUUAUGUUGCAAACAACUUAAGCAUUAUUUGUGUAUUAUGUGAUUUUAU
rnacentral:lncRNA from 1 species